UACGUAGGGGGCAAGCGUUGUCCGGAAUUAUUGGGCGUAAAGCGCUUGUAGGCGGCACGUCAAGUCGCGUGUGAAAUCCCCAGGCUUAACCUGGGAAGUGCGCGCGAAACUGACGAGCUUGAGUGCCGGAGAGGGUCGCGGAAUUCCCGGUGUAGAGGUGAAAUUCGUAGAUAUCGGGAGGAACACCAGUGGCGAAGGCGGCGACCUGGACGGACACUGACGCUGAGACGCGAAAGCGUGGGGAGCAAACAGG
rnacentral:rRNA from 1 species